rnacentral:rRNA from 1 species
GACAGAGGGUGCUAGCGUUGUUCGGAAUUACUGGGCGUAAAGGGCGCGUAGGCGGCUCGUUUAGUCGGGGUGUGAAAUCCCAAGGCUCAACCUUGGAACUGCAUUCGAUACUGGCGGGCUAGAGACCGGAAGAGGUGGGUGGAAUACCCAGUGUAGAGGUGAAAUUCGUAGAUAUUGGGUGGAACACCGGUGGGCGAAGGCGGCUCACUGGUCCGGUUCUGACGCUGAGGCGCGAAAGCGUGGG